rnacentral:rRNA from 1 species
AACGAACGCUGGCGGCGCGCCUAAUACAUGCAAGUCGAGCGAGAAGGUGUAGCAAUACACUUGUAAAGCGGCGAACGGGUGAGGAAUACAUGGGUAAUCUACCAUCGAGUGGGGAAUAACCAGCCGAAAGGUUGGCUAAUACCGCGUACGCCUCCGGAUCUUCGGGUUCGGAGGGAAAGCCACACUGUGAGUGCGGCGCUCUUUGAUGAGCUCAUGUCCUAUCAGCUUGUUGGUAGGGUAACGGCCUACCAAGGCUUUGACGGGUAGCUGGUCUGAGAGGACGAUCAGCCACACUGGCACUGCGACACGGGCCAGACUCCUACGGGAGGCAGCAGUAAGGAAUAUUGCGCAAUGGGCGAAAGCCUGACGCAGCGACGCCGCGUGGGGGAUGAAGGUCUUCGGAUUGUAAACCCCUUUCGGGAGGGAAGAUGGAGCGAGCAAUCGUUCGGACGGUACCUCAAGAGGCAGCCACGGCCAACUUCGUGCCAGCAGCCG